UACGAAGGGAGCUAGCGUUGUUCGGAAUCACUGGGCGUAAAGCGCACGUAGGCGGAUGUGUCAGUCAGGGGUGAAAUCCCGGAGCUCAACUUCGGAACUGCCUUUGAUACAGCACAUCUGGAGUCCGGAAGAGGUGGGUGGAAUUCCUAGUGUAGAGGUGAAAUUCGUAGAUAUCGGGAAGAACACCUAUGGCGAAGGCAGCUCUCUGGGACGGUACUGACACUGAGACGCGAAAGCGUGGGGAGCGAACAGG
rnacentral:rRNA from 1 species